rnacentral:misc_RNA from 1 species
AUAGAGAUGGCGGGCCCCCGCGCCCCCGUCCCCAACCCUUUGUCGACCAAACCACUUUUGCCUCGGGGGCAGAGCGGCCUCCGCCGCCCCCGGUGGACCAUUCAACCCUGUCUCUGUACGUCGGAGUCUUUGAUAAAUAAAUGA